UACGUAGGGUGCGAGCGUUGUCCGGAAUUAUUGGGCGUAAAGAGCUCGUAGGCGGUUUGUCGCGUCUGCCGUGAAAGUCCGGGGCUCAACUCCGGAUCUGCGGUGGGUACGGGCAGACUAGAGUGAUGUAGGGGAGACUGGAAUUCCUGGUGUAGCGGUGAAAUGCGCAGAUAUCAGGAGGAACACCGAUGGCGAAGGCAGGUCUCCUGGGCAUUAACUACGUGAGGAGCGAAAGCAUGGGGAGCGAAUAGG
rnacentral:rRNA from 1 species